GGAUAUGAGGACAUUCUGUCUGUGACAUCUGUCACUCCACUGACUGCCAGGAUUGAUUCGGCUGAUCUGACUGGCUGGGCAAAUGUCCCCUUCCUCCCUCACCUCACCCUGUGUGCCCUUCUGGAAGCUGAGCUUGGUUGAAGAUGAUGACAGCCCCCAAUAGGGGAGGACCAUUUCCUCAGUCAAGGAUUUAGCAGCAGCACUGCUCUCCUGAUAGCGUCUCCAAACAAGGUCCAAACACUCCUAUCUGUAAAAGUGACUGGAUUUAAACAAUAAUGAGAAGUUCUGCAGUAUUCAAUAAGAUGAAUGAACCUUGAGAA
ensembl:misc_RNA 7SK 7SK RNA